UACGUAGGGUGCGAGCGUUGCCCGGAUUUACUGGGCGUAAAGAGCGCGCAGGCGGUCGUUCAAGUCGCGUGUGAAAGCCCCCGGCUCAACUGGGGAGGGUCACGCGAUACUGAUCGACUCGAAGGCAGGAGAGGGUAGUGGAAUUCCCGGUGUAGUGGUGAAAUGCGUAGAUAUCGGGAGGAACACCAGUGGCGAAGGCGACUACCUGGCCCAUUCUUGACGCUGAGGCGCGAAAGCUAGGGGAGCGAACGGG
rnacentral:rRNA from 1 species